GCAUGGAUGAAUUCUGCUUUAGCUUUUGCAGUAGCCAUUGCAGUCAGACACCAUGCAAAAUUAAAUUUCAUUUGUACCUUUUAUCCUGAUGGAACCAUACUUUACUGGGUGUCAUCAGAAUUACAUCUGAAUACAGUU
rnacentral:snoRNA from 1 species